CACGUUAGUUCGUUCGGAACAUAAAUAUAUUUUUUUAAAUUAUUUUGAAAGUAGUCAUCUUUCUCUUUAUAGUUAUUAUUUCAGAUUCUUUGUGCUUUUACGUUCCCAUAAGGAGGUCGAAAUUUUAUAGUUAUUCAGUGAUGGCAACUCGUCCCAAACGCCCAGGUUCUUCAUAUAUGAAAUGGUUUACAACGUGUGGCCGACAACUGAUGAAGGAACGGUAUCCCAACGCCACGGUUACGGAAAUCGCAAAAAAAUGUGGGGAGGAGUGGGCUCGGACGACAGAUGCGGAGAAGGCGGUCUGGAAGACGCUAGCAAAUAUUGCCAUGCACAAGUACAAACUGAGUAUAAAAGGAUGGAGGGCUUACCAAGCAGCAAAUGGCUUAAAAUGUCGUCAAUCGCCAAAGCGAAAGCGUAAAAAUAAAAAUAUUCGCCGACGCAAACGGUCGCGCCAAGCCGAGGACCCUGCAAGCCCAACUUAAACUAUUCUAGUCCAAACAGAGUCGAACUAAGCCUUGAAACCCCUGUCUACCGAAUCCCACUAUAUUAAUUGAACGAAGAAAUGAAAAAAAAAAGUUUUUACAAUGAAUAUAGUUAAUGCAUAAACGAA